rnacentral:lncRNA from 1 species
UUUUUUGCAUUAUUUUUUUGAAAGUAAACAUGCUAUGAUGCAAAUGAUGCAAUUAUGACUGGUUGGCUGUGUAUCACGGAGCACAGGAUCAGAACUUCGGCAUCGGAACCGGAACCCACAAACCAAGGUCAUCUGAAACCCAUACUUCUGAACCAAGUUACCAUCAGGACCAAACAGAAGUCACCACCAGAAUACAGUCACCAACAAAUCAAGUCACCAACGGUACCUGUAAUGAUUCAAUCCCUCCCCACUCGCGGGUG